UGAACCCUUAUUUUAUCGGAGAUUAGUAGAAAAGAUACGCCCUGUAAUUCACAGUUUCCGCAAAUUCUAAGGAAUCGUUACCGAGCUCGUGUGGCCGUUUACGAUUCGACCUUUCAUCCGGCAAAAUUAAAGCUGGCUCUUUAUAAGCCAAUUUAUGCCCACUUUCCACCGCGGACUUAAACGACGCUUUGGCUAAUCUUGAUCGCCAGCGUAUUCUCUGACCGUAAAAUUACCAUUCACGCAAGAUGUAGUUAUUGUAAAUUAAAUAUUACAUGCAGGGUGUAACGUUGUCAGCGUUUGAAUGAGCAAGAAAAGAUUUCAUACAGAGUGCGAUUGGAAGUAUAGAAAUGUACAGGUUGAUUUCUCAGGAAUGGAUUAGUCUCGACUUUGAAAAUUCAUUGCAUACAUAUCAUCGCCUUGCUGGAAGUGAGUGACUCUAUUAGGAAAGGAUAUUACACGAAGGAAAUUCUUUCGGAAUACAAUUUUUCAGGUGUUAUAGAAAAUGACUAGUAGCUUGAUUAUUUAACGAUGGACAAAUUUCGUUUACAAAUUAUAGUAGUGGUCUUUGGAUUUCUAAGAUCUUUCUAAAAUAUCUAUUAUAUAAAUAUAUGUAAGUUUGUGUUGUUUAUACUGUUAACGAAAAGGUUAGAACAAUCUUUGAAUUAUGAUAUUCUUGUUAUAUAUUGUAAUUUUGUAUAACAUAAAAGAAUGUUACUCCCAUCUUCCUUUUGAAUUAAAAUAAAACACUUGCUUGGAAAAGA